rnacentral:lncRNA from 1 species
UAGAUAAACAUACACAUAGAAUUAAUUAGUAAUGUGUUAAGUUUUAUAUAAACUUAUAAUGUUUGACACAUACAAAACUUAUGCAAACUCAACAUGAAAAUACAAUUUUUGUUCUAAAUUGAAUUGAUACGAUAAAUUAUACAAAGCGUAAGCUAUUAGCAUAGAUAAAAAAAAAUUCUAAAUUGAACCAUGGAUUUAGGUGAGAUAGUAAGGGUUGGUUGAGGGUUCGAUCCUUGCCCUGAGUAUGGAGCAGCUUUAAAACUUGUGGCUAACAUCUAUCCCCUUAAUAGGCCUACAAAAUGCGGAGGAUUAGUUACUGAGCUUGUUUCGAUAGAUACCUUAAAAAAAUUAAGUGGAAUAAGGAAAAGACAAAUAUCAACUUUCUCAAACCCACCAUCUUAUAUUUAUUUUGUGGAAUUGUUUUAUGAACACAAGUAAUAAAAUAAGACAAAAUUGGCUUAAUUUAUUUAGUCGAAAUAAAUUAAUUGUUAUGAAAGAAAAUCCAUUGGCUACAAAUUGAAGAACAUGAACGUUUGGUGCAACAGAAUAAUAGAGGAAAAAUCUAUUCAUCAAUUUAUGGACUGAAUUCUCAUGCACUGCAAAUUUGUAUAAUUUCAAAGGUUUUUCUUCCAUGUGGUCUCAUGUGUUUUCCUUUUUAUUUCACUGUGAACUUAUUUUAUUAUUAUUAUGUAAUAUGGUCAAAGUAGAGAUGAUGAUGGAUGAAAGUUGGACUAUAUUAUCAUGUGUUUUCCUACUCUUCAUGUUCGGCUCCUAAUUAAGAUCUGAUUCUUCAAUUUUAUUAUAUUAUUAUUCAUUUGUUACAGUUAUUACAGUUAAAGUGUUUAGUUAGACUAUAUUUUAUGAAGGUUUGAAUGAUUCCCAUCACAAUAACAAUCUAAAUUAUUUCCUCAUUUGAGUCCAACUAAAGUUUGUCUUAAAAAAAAGAAAGAAAGAAAGAAAGUGUUUUUUCAAAAUAUGAAAAUAUCGAUUUUAGAUAUGAUGUUAUAAACUAGAAGAAAUGUUAAAACUUUGAAAAUUUUAGUGAUUACUUAAAAACCCAGUCAACCUCGGUGAUAGACAAAAUCAUAUAUUUUGUGUACAUGUAGGGACAAAAUAAAAAAAUAUAUAUAUCAAGAUAAACUUGAAUUAAAUUAUUAUUAUCCCGUUGAGUUAUUGUAUUUAAGUAGGGGGAAGACGCUUCUAGCUACAUCGUGUGUGUUUUUAUUAGUAUCAUUAUAGUAUUAUCGAUUUGUAGUUUUCUUUUCAUAAUUAUGUCAUUAAGGAAAAUUGGUUAUGGAACAAAAUUUAUAUUAUUAUCUAUUUUAAGUAAAUCCUUAAAGUAUUAACAUCAUUUGUCAAUGUUAAUGCUCAGCAACUCAAAUUUGACAUAAAACAUAUUCAAAACAUAUGAUUAGUUUAUAAACAUGCGUGUACCUGUUACAUAAACCACUUUCAUAUAACAUAUUAAAAAAAUAACUCUCCUAAAUCUUAUCAAAAGUCUAUUCCAAAUCCAAACUACCGGUGCAAUAGCAGGUUCAUUUCUGUUUAUAGUUUGAUCUGUGUCUAAUUCAAACUGCAUUUUUUAACAUCUAUAUUAACAACUACAUUGGCAAAACAAUCUAAAUGGUAUAAUAUAGAUAUUUUGAAGAUUUAAUUAUAAUAUUUUGGAGCUUAGGGAUCCAUUAAAAUUUGAGCAAUAAUUUAAGUUAAAUACAAUCACUUUAUAAAGAAAAAAAAAAGUGAAUACAAAGGUUUUACUUUGCAAAAUAGGUUUAAAAUAAGAGGUUGAUUAAGUUGUAACAUACAUUAACCUAAAUUGAAUUUGAAACAAUUUUAUUAUAGAUUUUGAUCAUAUCUGCUCUUUUUGAAACAAUACUCAAAAUUAUCUAUAACCCCUCCCCAAACCAUAAAUAGAAGAAUAAUGCGCUUCAAUAUACUCGAACCUAUGUCCUCCUACAUUAACAACAAUGUACUUAAUAAUCAUUUUUCCUUACAAUAAUUCACCUAACUAUCAUCGUUGUGAUUGAAUAAAAAAUAUACUUUACCAUAAAUUUUAAUUUCACCACUUAUCUAAAUGGAUCCUAUGAAAUGCAAAUAAGACUCUAGUCCCUCUACCACUCAAACACUUUAUUUAAUUUUAAAUAAAAUUUUUAUUUAACCCUUAAACAUAUUAGUAAAAUUAUUAUUUAUUCCCUAAAAAAUUAUAAUUCAAUCUUGGCUCAAAAUGCAUACCUAAUUCAACAUGAAAUCUUAUUGUUGCCUUUUGUUUUAAAAAUAAAUAAAUCUAGUCAACUUUUACAUUAAAAAUAAUAAACAUAAAUGAUUUAAUUGAUUAAUAAUAGAAGUUUAAUGAUAUAAUUUAAUAAAAUUAAAAACAUUUGAUUUACAUUAAAGUUGAUAUUAUUAUAUUAAGGGAUAACUUUUAAAAUUAUACAUAAAUUAUGAUUUAAUAUGCAAUUGAAUAAAUUUUUUUUUGAUUUUGUGUAAUUUUAUACAUGAAAUUUUGAUUUGAUCCAAAUCUUGUAAAUUAUUAACACAAUUAUAGAUAUAACAUCAUUUUAUGUUUAUAAAUUGCAAUAAUAAAUAAUUAUAUUUAUCCAAUGCAAAAAUAAAUUAAUGUAUUUAUUUUUCAAUGUGUACGAUUAAAUCAAAAUUAAAGUUUCAAGUACAUAUUUGAACCAUAAAAAGUUUCACGUGUAUAAUUACACCAAGUUAAAGUUCAUAUAUACAAUUGCACAUUAAAUCAAAAUUCAUGUUGCUUAUAUUAACUUGAGUAGUUUAAGGUGUAAAUGGGAAUGCAGUUAGAUGGGUGCAGGCAGGGAUCUUGGGUUCUUCUUGGUUAGAUGUAAAAAUUUCCUUUUAGUCCCUCAAAUUAAGACAUUAAAUUUAAGUCUUUUUAGCAUUUCAUUUACCAGAAUAAUUGCAUUUUUGACCAUAUAAAAAAUUAAUAAUUUAAUCUAAACUUUUUUAAUAUUAAUCCCUUAAAAAAAUUAUAAUUUUAUCCCUUUAAGCAUUACAAACUUGAAUAUUUAUGGGAAAUUUAACCUCCUUUCAUCCCUCCAACUUUUAAUAUUGAGUGUAACUUAAGUAAAAUUAUUGAAUUGAAAAGAUGAGGAUGGUUAAGGAAAAAUGAUAAUGGGGUAAUUAAAUGAAUUAAGUGUGAUUAAUUAGAAUGGAAAGUGCAUGAAUCUAAGAUGUUGAUUGCUAAAACAACCACCUUGAGAUUCUCAUAUCAUUAAAUGAGGAUGAAUUUAAGGUUUAGAACCCCAUCACAUCACUUAACAUUUAAGGAUGAUUUAAUUUUAAUUCAAAUUGGGCAUUAAACAAAGUUAGUAAGUGGAAGGGUUCCACAUGCAUUUGUGGCAGGUGCAAUGCCCCUAACAUGUUAUCUAUCUAUCCACUCAUUAUUAACUCCAUCUCCUAAAAACAUAUAGAGACAAACAAGAAAUAAUAUUUUAUAUUUAUUGAGAAAUACUAAGAGAUAGAUUACUUAAUUUCAUUAAUCUCAAACCUAUUUUACCCACCUCAUCAACUCAAUAUGUUUUGCUUUCCUGUUUUAUUAUUUUAAUAUUUCAACUACUCCAUGUGAUUAUUAAGCAUAUGCAUAUAUAUAUAUAUAUAAUUAUUUAAUAGGUAAACUAUAAAAAUAGUCACUUUUAUUUUUCUUAGAUUACAUUUUAGCCAUUUAUAUUUGAAAUGUUAUGUUUUAGUUACUUACGCAAUUAUUUUGUCACGAAGUGGUCACUUGUUAAGUUUUGUUGCCUACCUAACGGCAAUCCUACAUGAUACUCCAAAUGAAUUUUAAACGCCAACUUGGAUGUCCAACUGAGACGGCUAUAGGUUUUUAAUUAAAUAAAUUUAAUUAAUUGAAAAUUUUUAAUUAGUUACACCUUGAACUUGAAAAGAAAAACCGUUCAUCUCAUUUUUCUUUUAAUUUUCUUUUCCAUUUUGAUUGAAAAAACUAUUCUCGUCCCAGUUGGACAUCCAAGUUGGUAUUUAAAACCCAUUUGGACAACCACGUAGGAUUGCCGUUAGGGAGGUAAUGGAGCUUAACGGUAGAGUGACUACUUCGUAACAAAAUGAUAACUUAAGUGACUAAAAUGUAAUAUUUCAAACAUAAGUGACUAAAAUGUAAUUAGAGGCAAACAAAAGUGAAAUUGGGUAAAAGUAUUAUGUAAAAAUAUAUUUAUAAAAAGUUUAAAUUUAUUUUGAUGCCAAGUUUAAAUAUGUGAAUUUUUAUUGAUUUUAUGUAAAAAUAUAAAAGAACAAAAACAUCAUAAUAAUAAUAAUAAUAAUAAUAAUAAUAAUUGAUUUUGCCAAUAUAUUUUUUUUAUAAUUUCUCAACUAAGUUGGAAUAUGGUUGAUAAAUGAUAUCAACAUAGUUAAGCCUUUAAAUAAUAGUUAGUGUAUAUAUAUAUUUGGCACACCAAUAAUGUAGGUGAAAAAUAAAAUUAUGUAAUAAAUAUAUUUAUAAAAAAAAUUGUAUAAAUAACAAAUUCGGCUUUAGUUGAAAAGAUAAAGUACAAAUAUUUUGGGACAAGAUGAUUUUUGGAAAUUUGAGCAAGCGAAAGAAGAAAACUAUGAUUCAAGCGACACUUGAAAAACGUAGAAUUGAACACCAUGCUCAUCUUGAACAAAACUUGAAGUUGGAACUUGAAGAAAUAUUCAUUUAGAGGAACUUCUAUGGAAGCAAAAAUCUCGGUUGGAUUGAAUACAAAGUGGGGACAGAAACACUAAGUUUUUCCAUAGUUGUACCCUUACACAAAGACGAAGGAAUCGUAUUAGUGAUUUGCGACUUGGAGAUGGUGAAUGGUGCUUUGAUGAAUGUAAACUAAAGGAUGUAACUAUUUUUUUUUCAGCAAAUUAUAUCAGUGUGAAGGAUCGAUUUUGGGAAAAAAAUUGAGUAGGAGUCAGUUUCCUUUAAUCUGUCACGAGGACCUUUUGUUACUUCAAAAUGAGAUAAAUAUAGAUGAAAUUCGGUGUUCUUUGCUUGAGAUGGCUCCGUUGAAGGCUCUAAGAGUCGAUGGACUUAAUGCUCAAAAUUUUCAAAGUCAAUGGGCUUUCAUUGGUGCAUCAAUUGCUAGUAUAGUCAAAGAAGUUUUCCAUGGUAAGCCCUUGGAACCUUUCUUUGUAACACCCCUUACCCGUAUCCAACACCAGAAUAGGGUACGAGGCAUUACCAAAACACAUACACUUGUAAACGUAUUUAACCGAGUUAUAAAAUUUCAACUAAAUUAAAACUUUCAAAAUAAUUAGAAUGCUUCUAUAACUUUUCACAAUAUAUCCUCAAAAUAUUAUAAUCAUAAUAAUUAGGGCCUACGAGACCCGGUACAUACUCAUACAAGUCAAUGCUUCAUUUCCAUUUCAUUUAAUUCGCAAUUUCUCAUGCUCACAAUUUAGAUCAUAUCACUAGCAAUUUCCAUUUAAUUCACGUACAAUUCAAUGUCACUAAGUUUAACACUAAUACGUAUUUACCAUUUAACUCAACGUUUAUCGAUUAUAUCAUUCAAUAACACAUUUAUGAAAUUCUUAAUUUUGCAAUGAAAAUAUCACUUUAGCUUAAAUAACAACAUCAUCCUAGUAUAAAUACACUACCACUUAUUCAUUUACUUUAAUUCAUUUGGGCCCAUUUGUCACUUACCAUCCUUAAUCAAAUUAGGGAACGGUUAUGGAAAAUUGAGUACUUCACUUUCACUUUGCCAUAGUAUAACUAUGGUCUUACGUAUGAUCACUUAUCACUUGUCCCUGAUCAGAUAAGUGUAGCCACUUAUCACUUUGUUUCUUGAUCAGAUAAGUGUAGCCACUUAUCACUUUGUCUCUUGAUCAGAUAAGUGUAGCUAAAGCUAUCACUUAUCACUUUUCACUUGUCACUUGAUCAGAUAAGUGUAGCCGAAACUAUCACUUAUCACUUUGUCUCUUGAUCAGAUAAGUAUAGCCGAAAUUAUCACUUAUCACUUUGUCUCUUGAUCAGAUAAGUAUAGCCGAAGCUAUCACUUAUCACUUUCCACUUGUCACUUGAUCAGAUAAGUGUAGCCGAAGCUACCACUUAUCACUUUCCACUUGUCACUUGAUCGAUAAGUGUAGCCGAAGCUAUCACCUAUCACUUUGUCACUUGAUCAGAAGUACUCAAAUCCGGCGUUCCGCUCAAUUUGAUUAUUUAUUCAAUUUUCACAUUUUUAUUUUAUUCUCAUUUCAUCAAUAAACAUAUCUCAUCAUACAUUACAUAACUCAUGAAAUUAACAUUUAAUCAUUAAAUUUCGGCCAAAUGAACUUACUAUUUCAUUAUCUUACCACACUUGUUUCCUAUGCACAUCACACAAGAUAUAAACAUAUCAUUCAACCAUAGUCACAAGCUAGUAUAUUUAAACAUAACUCUUUUUGGAACUAACCACAUGAUAAACCAUUCAUGAAAUUAUUUCAUGCCAAAUCAUAUACCGAAUAUACGAUACACACAUACUAUGAAACUUUAUUUUCACACAUGAGCUUAAACCAAAACCAAUAAUGCACAAAUAUAAGCAUUAUUUCUAUUUCAUCGUUUAUCAAUUAUAAUCAAGCAUAUGACCAAUUAUACACAAAUCAUUCAUAUACUUCCCAAUUUUUCUCCUCCCCCUCUCCAUUCCACAUCCUUAAUGUGUAUAACACACUUAAACAACAUUAGCUAUAAUUUCACUAUUCACUCACAUGUAUAUUCAAAGCUGUUUAUCCGAGUCAGAGUCACUAAAUUAUUUUUAUCCGGAGCUAAAGAGCUCCAAAUUAAGAUCCGUUAAUUUUCCCUGAAACUAGACUCACAUACCUUCUUACCAUAAAAUUUUCAGAAUUUUUGGUUCAUCCAAAUAGUACAGUUUAUUCUUUAAAGUUUCCCCUGUUUUGCUGUCUGACAGUUCCGACCACUCUUCACUAAAAAUUAAUUAUAAGAAUUUGGAUGAUAUUUAUAUUGGUUUCUUAUGAAAAUAGACUCAUUAAGGAUUCUAAUCAUAUAAAUUAUAACUCAUAAUCAUUUUUGUACAAUUUUUAAUGAUUUUCCAAAUUCAGAACAGGGGAACCCGAAUUCAUUCUGACCUUGUCUCACAAAAUCUAUUAUAUCUCAUGAUUUAUAAUUUCAUUACUUACACCGUUUCUUCUAUGAGAAACUAGACUCAAUAAGCUUUAAUUUCAUAUUUUAUUCACCCUCUAAUUAAAUUCCCACAAUUUUUGGUGAUUUUUCAAAGUCAGACCACUGCUGCUGCCCAAAACUGUUUAGUGUAAUAUAUUGAUUACCAAUUUGACUCUAAACUUUUAAUACAUGAUAAUUUCGUCCCUAGGCUUGGAAAAUGAAAUUCUUGCAAUAUAAUCCUUGAUUCAAGCCUAGUAUUUCUCAUACAUAUCAAUAACAGCCCAUAGAUUCCAUGAAAUUUUAGAAUUUCUCCAUGAUUUCAAUACUUUUCAAUUUAAUCCCUAAAACAUGUUUUCAUCUAAAAUUCUUUAAUAAAACACCUUUAAACAUCCAUUAACAUCUCAAUUUCAUCACAAAAUAACAACAAUAAUAUGAAAUUAUCAUUAGUAUCUUCCAAAAAUUUCAAAAAAAUGAGAAACUAGUAGAAUACUAAGUUGGACCUAAUUGUAAAAGUCUAAAAAUAUAAAAAUUUCAAGGACAAAGCAAGAAUUAAACUUACUUGAAGCCAAAAUAUGGAAUACCAGCUCCAAAACCUCUUCCAUGGCUGUCUCCCAUCGAAAUUUCAAGAAGAAAU